rnacentral:rRNA from 1 species
AUGGAGAAUAUAUUUAAACAAUAUAUGUCCUCGAAGCCUGUUACGAGUGCUUCUCGUGUGCGUACAGAACUGGACUUAUAUUUGGAAGAGGAAAUUAUCCAUAGGCCAGAGGGUCUCGACAUCAUCAAUUGGUGGCAGUAUGCAGGUAUCAAGUAUCCUACAUUGCGAAGAAUGGCUCAUGAUAUACUAGCCAUUCCUGUAACAACUGUGGCGUCGGAAUCUGCCUUCAGUACUAGUGGGAGAAUACUAAGUGCACAUAGAUGUUCACUUGCACCAAACAUGACUGAAGCUCUUAUGUGUAUGCAAGCUUGGUCCCGUGCAGACAUGUUAGGGGAUUGCAAUUCUACUCUCUUUGCGGACUUUGAAACUGUUCUUAAGGAUGACACGGAAAUGAUGGAGGUUGAUGAUCAAUCCAUCCUAACUGAAGCCUGA